rnacentral:rRNA from 1 species
UACGGAAGGUGCAAGCGUUAGUCGGAGUUAUUGGGCGUAAAGGGUGCGUAGGCGGUAAAAUAAGUCGAACGUGAAAUUUUGGGGCUUAACCUCAGAGCUGCGUUCGAAACUGUUUUUCUAGAGGAAUGGCGGAGAAGACGGAAUUCCAUGUGUAGCGGUGAAAUGCGUAGAUAUAUGGAAGAACACCUGUGGCGAAAGCGGUCUUCUAGCCUCAUCCUGACGCUGAGGCACGAAAGCAAGGGGAGCAAACAGG